AUGAACGCUAGCGACAGGCCUAACACAUGCAAGUCAGGGGCAGCACAAGGAGCAAUCUGAGGUGGCGACCGGCGCACGGGUGAGUAACACGUAUGCAACCUGCCUGUAAGCGGGGAAUAACCCGUUGAAAGACGGACUAAUACCGCAUAAUACUAAAUUACUGCAUGGUAAUUUAUUUAAACAUUUAUGGCUUACAGAUGGGCAUGCGCAUGAUUAGCUAGUUGGAGAGGUAACGGCUCCCCAAGGCAACGAUCAUUAGGGGUUCUGAGAGGAAGGUCCCCCACACUGGUACUGAGACACGGACCAGACUCCUACGGGAGGCAGCAGUGAGGAAUAUUGGUCAAUGGACGAGAGUCUGAACCAGCCAAGUCGCGUGCAGGAAGAAUGUCCUUAAUGGAUUGUAAACUGCUUUUGCAGGGGAAUAAAGCGCAUCACGUGUGAUGUUUUGUAUGUACUCUGCGAAUAAGGAUCGGCUAACUCCGUGCCAGCAGCUGC
rnacentral:rRNA from 1 species